UAGAAGAGGAUUCGUUACAAGAAAUUGCGGUAGAUAUUUUGUUUAUCGCUUUCUUCGCACUUUGCGUCCUCAUUUAAAGGAGUAUAUACAGAAUACAGAAUACAGUAUCACUGUUUCUACAGAAUACAAUGCAUUACAACUGACCAUUCGUGCAGAAUGGSAAGAUUGGAAAAACUUGUCGUCUGUGUUGAAUUGGAGCAUUUUAGAUGACAAAGAAUUUUCCCGUGUCCCAAGAUCCAAACGAGAGCGCUACCAUUUUGGCUUGCAACAUGGUAUAGGAUUCCUUUUGAAUAACACUGCACAUUUAACAAUCCAAACUAAACCAGAUAUUCAGUCAUUUACACUGUGUUAUUGGAUAUCUACGAAUGAUUCUACUCCGAAAUUGUUAAAUACUGCUGUCAAGACUAAUGCAAAGGUGUUGUUGGAUAUCCUCGUAUACCGGUAAGGACUUCUUAAAAGUA